rnacentral:rRNA from 1 species
GUUAANUCAGCGGUGAAAUCUAGGAGCUUAACUNCUAAAUUGCCAUUGAUACUGGCGGGCUUGAGUGUAGAUGAGGUAGGCGGAAUGCGUGGUGUAGCGGUGGAAUGCAUAGAUAUCACGCAGAACUCCGAUUGCGAAGGCAGCUUACUAAGGUACAACUGACGCUGAAGCACGAAAGCGUGGGUAUCAAACAGGAUUAGAUACCCUGGUAGUCCACGCAGUAAACGAUGAUAACUGGGCGUAUGCGAUAUACAGUAUGCUCCUAAGCGAAAGCGUUAAGUUAUCCACCUGGGGAGUACGCCGGCAACGGUGAAACUCAAAGGAAUUGACGGGGGCCCGCACAAGCGGAGGAACAUGUGGUUUAAUUCGAUGAUACGCGAGGAACCUUACCCGGGAUUGAAAUGUAGAUGACCGCCGGUGAAAGUCGGCUUCCCUUCGGGGCAUCUAUGUAGGUGCUGCAUGGUUGUCGUCAGCUCGUGCCGUGAGGUGUCGGCUUAAGUGCCAUAACGAGCGCAACCCCUGUCUACGGUUGCCAUCAGGUGAUGCUGGGAACUCCGUAGAGACUGCCGUCGUAAGGCGUGAGGAAGGUGGGGAUGACGUCAAAUCAGCACGGCCCUUACAUCCGGGGCGACACACGUGUUACAAUGGUAAGGACAAAGGGCAGCUACCUGGCGACAGGAUGCGAAUCUCUAAACCUUAUCACAGUUCGGAUCGGAGUCUGCAACUCGACUCCGUGAAGCUGGAUUCGCUAGUAAUCGCGCAUCAGCCAUGGCGCGGUGAAUACGUUCCCGGGCCUUGUACACACCGCCCGUCAAGCCAUGGGAGUCUGGAGUACCUAAAGUCCGUAACCGCAAGGGUCGGCCUAGGG